UUAUGGAUGAGGAAGCUGAGGCACAGUGAGGUGGGGGAACUUGCGUGUACAGGCUCAGUCUAGAGUUCAGGACCCUUUUAAGCUCUUGGUAUAUCACUUCCUGGAAAACAACGCUGGGACAGCCCUAACAUCUACACUGCUACUUUACAGCUUUAAGAACACCUCACCAGGUAAAGCAGACCCGGAUCAUAAACUACUGACAACCGAGGAGGAAAGUCAGGGAUGCUACCCUUGGGGGUAAGGACAAAAUGACGGGAGUGGAAGAGUCACCGUGACUCCACGUUCAGGUGCCAUCGGCUCUUGAGAUCAUUCUGGAAAGAGUCCUGGAAGAGUGUAGGACUCCACAGCUGUCUGGGUGAGGGGCGGCUGCCCUGGCGGGCUUGGGGGGCAGGGAGCACGUUCACUGUCCCUCAGGAGCCGGGAGUGUUCAGGGACACCCCCCUUUCUCUGGAGGGAUUCAGAGCAAUGCCCUCAGGGUCCUCCCGGCCCCUCCUGACUUGUGCUCAUUAGCAAGUCUCUGUGAAAAGCCCUGCGAAGGAUGCAUUUAAACAAAUUUAGUUACAGAGUAAACAAAGGACCUCCUUUUAAAGAAUAACUUUGCUCGAAUGGGGACCGCUGUAGAAAAUACUGGACAUGUGGUCACUGUGUGGAAAGGCUGUGAGUCUUCAGGCCGGCAGGAAAACUCAGAGCACUAUUACCUCUGUCCCCUGUUGUUACCUCCUCUUCUGCCCGUCCUCCAAAGCCGGGCCGUCCUCUGCUCACUGCCCUGGGGCAGCGUCGCAUGAGCAGAGCAAAGUCACUCUCCCCCUUGACAAGAUAACUUAGAUUAGGCAAAAGAUUUGGGAGAGAAAUAUAAGGUUCCCUGGCCCCUGUCCAGAGUCACACUUCCUAAAACCCAGAUGGACGGCACUGCGGGGGACAAGAGAACAUAGACAUUGACGAGCUUUGGAGAAGCCGGCCCUGCACCCAUCUCUUCACUCGGUGACCAGGCGGAGCCCCAGAGAGGGCGAGAUACUAGGGAGAUAGGAGGGAUCCAAGAGCAGGGGAUCCGCGCCCUCCAUCCUGGGGCAGCUCCAGGAGGCAACAAGGCUGCAGACAAGAAACACUGCGUGGAACAUCUAGGCAGUUCUGGAGACCAGAAGUCUGAAAUGUCUUACAGGCGGAAAUCAAGGCGUCAGCAGGGCUGGUGGCUUCAGGCAGCUCCAGAGCAGAAUCCGUUCCUUGCCUCUUGUGGCUUCUAGAGGCUGCCUGUGCUCCACAGCUGUGGCCCCAUGCUCCGUCUUCAGAGCACACACUCCAACCUCUGCUCGGUCAUCACACCAUCUCUCCUCCUCGCUGACAUUGGCCCUCUCGCCUCCUGCUCACAAGGACCCUUGUGAUUCCAUUGGGCCCACUUCGAUAAUCGGGAUCAUCUCUCCAUCUCAAGAUCCUUAACUUAAUCCCAUCUGCAGUGUCCCUGUGCCAGGCACCCUGUGACAUGGCAGUUUCAGUUCCGGGUGCCAGUGAACACCAAAUUCACCAGUGACCAUUUGUUCUGGGUUGGCAAGGCCCAGAGAUGCUGUGGCAGCCUGUUUUCCAGGGGCCCUGCCUCUGUGUUGACCCCAUCCCACCAGCUCUUCCUACAACGUGACUGGAACUCCUCCCACAGAGAGUGGGGUCUACGUUUCCUCCCCCUUGAAUUGGGGGGACUGGGGAUUGCCCUGACCAAUAGAGCACAACGGAAGUGAUACCCUGUGACUUCCAAAGCUUAGGUCAUACAAAAGGAUUCACUUCUGUCUGGCUCUCACUAUCUCAAGAUGCUCACCUUUGGAACCCAGCCACCAUGUUGCAAGGAAGCCCAGGCCCCAUGGAAAGGUACACUUGAGGAAGAAACAAGCCCGCCCCGCAACAGCCAGCACCAACUUGCCAGCCAUGUGGAUAGGAAGUGGAUCCUCCAGUCCCAACCAAGCCUCCAGAUACUGCAGCCUUGGCUCACAUUUGACCACAGCUUCAUGAGAGCCAGAAUUACCCGCCAAGCCUCUUCCAGAUCCCUGAUGCUUAGAAACAGUGAGAGGUCACUCAAGUUCUUAUUUGCAGUCCCUGGAACAAGACCCGCCUCCUCUCCUCCAGGCCUGUGAACAUUCUCAUCCCCUCCUCCUCUACAUGAGACCUCCAUGGUUUACCCCCUGCAGCCAGGUUCAUCAGCCCUCCCUACAUGUGGCCACACUGCUCCAUGCUUGCCCCAUGCUCACACUCCUCACUGUCCACUGGCCAUAUUAAAGGCGCACUAGCUUCUCCCAGAGGCUGCCAACUGAGGUCAGAGACGACUAACUGAGACCUCAGGAAUGAGGGCUCCAAUGUCAGAGGCAGCCAGCAUCCGAGGGGCCAGAGUGUAGCCGUCAACACAGAUCGUGAGGUCCCAAACACCCUCGACCUCGGCUCACAGAGAUCUUUCUUUCUUGUCCCGAAGUGGAAGGGCUGGGCUGCUGUGGGCAUGGCUGACAAAGCUUCUCCAUAACGCGUUAGCAAUUUCUGCUCACAUUCGGCAAACGUCCUUGAUGGGUGUGGACAUCGCAUUAGCAGUUUGCCACAUCACAGAAGCCUUGUGAGUGUUUCUGCCAUGUUCUCAUCUGCAUGGAGGAUGCCCUGCCCUUGGAACAGGGACAGUCAUGAGGAAUGGCCAGAGGACCCUGGACUGAAUGAUUCACCAGAAGCAGGAGUGCCCUCUGGAAGUCUGCAGAAAACUUGAGAUGGGCAUUAGACUUUGCAAAAUCCAGGCAGCGACGAUGGUUCAAGGCAUAUUUCCCUUGAUCUUCAGAACAGUGUGACUACCUCUGGUCUCGUCUGUGGUGUCUCAGUGGCAGUAUGUGUGUAAGAAGGGGGAGGUUUCCGUGUCUGUAUAGUUGCUGGCUGCAUUUGCACCCAUACUUAAAGGUGUGGGUGUUCAUGUGCUUCUUCUGCUUUUGUGUAGGGAUAUUAUUACACAUUGUAUCUUUGUUGGAGAUGCUGCUAAAUGUUCAUGUGAUCAUACUUUUCUUCCUCACUGAGUCUUCAUAGAGGGAAACUGAGUCCCUUCCCACACCUUGAGGAGUAGAGGCUUUCCCAGGAUCUGAGCCCUGCCAAGUAACAUGCGGUCCCUGCUCCCAUCUUUCCUUCUCGUGCCCCUUCCCCAUUUCUCUGACUCCUUCCUCCAACACUAAGAAGAGCCAAGGCCCUUAACCAAGAGCAGGAAAAUAAAAAUCAGGUCACCAGAUGUGUUGCAUUCCAUCCUCUCCCUCCUCACCACAAUAAAUUCCGAGCGUAUAUACAGCAAGUGCGUGGCAUCCCCUCCAACCUGGCUGUGUCCCUGCCUGGUGACAGACCCUACUGAGGCAGAGACUGCGGGUACCCAUACAAGCCUACCACAUGACCCACCCAUGUCUCCAGCUCCGUGACCCAUUAAUUUGCUCUGUCUAGACCAUCCAAGCAGACCCCAGAAUGAGUUUUUUUCACCCUGAAUGAGGGGUGAUACAUUUGUGCCCUCUGUACUGCCAGGGCUCCUUUUCCCUGUGUGGUCACUGUCUGUCUGGGUGCAGGAGGAGAAUGAGGUCUCGUGGGCAAGAUCACUGUCUGGAUACUGGCGGUGGGGGAGACCGCAGCCCUGCUUUGGCUUGUGCACAGGGCUCUCUCAAGCUGGCCCCCACCUGGAGCCCACAGUGAGUGUCUGGGUCUCUGGAAUGAACAGGGCAUCUGGGAUUCUCAUUGGAGACUGUUUACUUGUCGAUUUGCAUGGCAGGUUAAGAGCCCACAGCAGCCCACUUUCUGCCAGCGAAUUUUAGGAACAAUUUCUCCAAGCCAGCGUGGCCCAGCCCAGGCAUCGGCCCUCCUCAGCCCUCCCUCCUUCCCUCCCCACAUUGGCCACGUGGAAGUGAGUCACUUGGGCUCUCUGAGCCCCUGCCAAGAGCAGCCAGAGCGGUGCCUCAAUAAAGUUGGAUGGGUUACUUUAGGAGCAGGGGGCAGUCCAGAGUCCCUUUGGAAUCCCGUGGACCUCCUUAUCCUCCUUCCACCACUGCUCCCCAAGUAGCCGACCAACCAAACCUGAUGAGGCAACGUCUCCUUGCUGCUCUGGAGAAAGCUCACCCCCCCACCUGGCUCUCCCAGUCCUCCGAUAGCCUGUGCUACAAUCAGGGGCCACUGUGGGGGGCUCUUGGCCUUUCAUGAGAUAGUCCAAGAAUAACGCACACCUAAGGCAAAGCACCCGUGUACGUGAUGACCUCGUUGUAUCCUCAUGAUCACCCCACGAGCUGGUAUUUCCCCCAUUUCAAAGAAGAAGAAACUGAGGAUAAAAAGAUUAAAUGAAGGUGGAGCCCAUGGAUUUUUAGAGCAGUGAAGCUAUUCUGCAUGAUACUGUGAUGGUGGACAUGUGUCAUCAUACCUUCAUCAGAACCUGCAGAACAGGCACCACCCAGAGAGAACCCGAAGGUGGACUUUGGGUAUAAUGUGUCAGCGUAGGUUCACUGAUGGAACAGAUGUACCAUCUGGUGGGGGAUACUGUGCGUAUGGAUGUGAUGGAUGACAGUGCGGCACCUGUGCACGUGUGGGGGCAGGGUACAGCGGAACUCUGCACUUCUUGCUCAA